GUUUAGUCACUUUCUUAGGCUCCGUGUCAUGGUUUCAGAGGUAGAGUUUCCAAGUGACCCUGCUCAUCCCAGCAGUAGGGGAGCUUUAAUUUCCUGGGUCCAGGAUGGUUUUCUGCAACUCUCUGAGGAGUAGAGAACAUUUACUUUUACCUUCCCACCAAUCAUUUUGCUUCACGGAAGGCCCAUCAUCUUCAGCUGAAAUGCCAUACUCAAAGAAGACUUUCCACAAGAGCAUGAAGAAACAUCUAAAAAAGAAUGGCAGCACUCAGACCGUGUGUUUCAAGGUCCACGCCAACACAGGUUAAUGAACCCUAGAAUUACAUAAUAAAA
rnacentral:lncRNA from 1 species